GAAAAACGAAAAAAAAAGAAGAGAAGAAUAGAGAAGUGAGAAAACAGAGAAAAGAAAAGAGAAUAGAAAAGAGAACAAAGAGGAGAAACUGAGAGAGAGAGAAGAAACUAGGGGGAGAGAACUCUCAGAAGCAAUUUCCGGUAUGGAUUAAUCCUUUAAGUUCGAAUUUAAACUUUGUUGAUUCAAUUGCUAUUUUGUGUUAAUAUGAUCUAGUAUGUAUAGGAAUUUAUUGUCUAGGAAUUAGUUAUUUCUAUGUAUAUGGGUGUUUAUGUAGAGGAAUUUUGGGUAUGUAUAUAUGUGUGUGUAUAUAUAUAUAUAUACGUGUGUGUGUGGUAUCUAUGUAUGUAUAUAUAUAUGUGUUUUAAAGAAAAGAAGAAAACAGAGACUUGGGUUGUAGCUUCUGCUGUGUUAAUGGCUGCCCAGGACUGAAAAUUAUCCAGUGUAGUUACGCCCAUAAAGUUAUCGUGUACCCUAGUCGAAAAUUGGUCAAUCGGAGGAGUUUUAGGUCAUGUGAAUAGUCGUUUUUUUAUGUUUUUCAGCGUUCUAAAUCCAAUUAUAGGGCCUGUUUAACCUAAUUUUAAAGUUAAAAUGACGUGAUACAUAAAGUGGUGAUUAGUAGGGAUUUUGAGCUUGUUUGAUGACAAUCGACAGUGAGAACUUGUCCAAUUGCCUUAAAAUUUUAAUAGAGUGUAACUACUACCAUUUAAUGAGAAUCCAUCGGAUUGAAUUAUAAAUUUAUAGAUUGAGUUAUAUACAUUGUACUUGUGCACUGAUAAAUUGUGAUUAACAGGACCUAAGGAAGGAGAAGGGCAUUCAAGGCAACCUCAGACGUGAUUUGACUGUGGCGUGUGUGCGGUGACAAGUAGGAUUAAAUACAGAUAGUCUUAUUCAUAUUGAAUUGAAUUUUCUUUUUUGGAUCAGGUAAACAUUAUAUUGAAACAAAACCAUGUACAAGGGACCAAUUGGGCAAGCCCAAGGGACAAACAAAAGCCUAAGGAAGCUAGGCACAGCCUGACUCUAAAAGAGAAGCCGAAACAUGGAGGCCCAAAUAAAUAAAGGAGACUUGAGCUUUAAGUAGCUUAGCCCCUUCCUUACAUCUUAUACUCAUGAGAGAUCUGCAUGGAUAUUGUUUAAUACUCGGUACACAAAAAUUUGGAUUUUCCUAAUAACUGCUUCCGGAGCUUGGACUCUUCCUUCAAAUAUUCUGAGAUUCCUUGCUUCCCAUACAAAAUAGGUGGUGCAGGCUAUGCCCAGCUUUUUUACUUUGGAUUGGAUUCUUGUUCCUCUGGCUUCCUUCAUUGCCCAUUUCACUGUUGCCUUUAAGGAUGAAAGCGUUCUACAGAAUCCCAGCCAGCUUUUAAUUGGGUUCCAAAUAUGUCUAACAUAGUUGCAUUGAAAGAAUAGGUGCUUGGUAGUUUCAUUCUCUGCUCUGCACAGCGAACACAGUUGGUUUGCCCCUGGGUCAGGAAACCUGUCUUUGGUUAGAAGCCUCUCCUUCAUGGCAAGCCAUAAAAUGAAUGCAUGUCUUGGGGUGGCAUAGUUGGUCCAGAUUACUUUUGGCCAUUUUAGCUUGAUCGCUUUUGGCCUAAAGUACUCAUAGGCCAGCUUAGAGUACAGAUCCCCAUUGGCCUUCCAUUGGUUAAUUUUCUCAGCUGCUUGUUGUGAUUGUUCUGUUUCUAUGAUUUCAUCCCGAAGCCCCAUGACUUGCUUUAUUAGCGGUGAGUCUGCAUGCUUAAUCUGGUAUUCCCAGAAGCUUGAGUGCUUUAAGUAAAUUUGAUGGACCCAUUGGACCCAAAGAGAAUCUUUUUUUGCUUGAAUAUCCCACAUAGUUUUCACGAGAAGGGCUUUGUUCCAAGCCUUGGAAUGUCUGAUGCCCAGCCCACCCUCUACCUUUGGCAGGGUGAUAUCUUUCCAUGAUACUAACGAUUUCUUAUUCUCGCUGCAUUUGCCACUCCAGAGAAAGUUUCUACAAAGCUUUGAUAAUUUUGGCUUGAACCCCGGCUGGAGUUGGGAGGAUGGAGAGCCAAAAGCAUUCUACCCCUUGGAGCACUGACUUGAUCAAUUAAAUUCUUCCGACAUAGGAGAGAUUUGCCCUUGCCCACGCACUAAUGAACCCUGUAAUCUUGUCAAUUAAGGGGCAAUAUUGGGCAAUUUAUAAUCUGGAAUCGGCCAUUGGAAUUCCAAGGUAUUUGAAUGGAAAUGACCCUUGAGUGAAUCUUGUGAUCCCCUUGAUGGUUUCCAAAUCCUGGCUGCAUAUGCCAGUUGUGAAAAGGCUUGAUUUGGCAAUGCUGACUCUCAGACCAGAACAAUCCCCGAAAUGGUUAAGAAUGUUUAUGAGUAGAGCAACCGAGGUGACAUCACCUCUAGACAGUAAGACAAGAUCAUCGGCAAAGGCAAGGUGGGUGGUUUUUAGACUUCCACACUUCGGGUGGAAGUUAAAAUCUUGGUUUUCCUUGAGCCCCCCCAAGUUUCUAGAAAGAUAUUCAAGGCAAAUGACAAAUAGAUAGGGGGAGAUGGGGUCACCUUGCCUAAGUCCCUAUUGCCCUUAAAGAAUCCAUGAAGCGACCCGUUAUAAGAUAUGGAGUAUGAAGUAGAGGAGAUGCAAGUCAUAAUCCAUUUAAUAAACAUCGGUGGGAACGUAGAGCUAAAAGCAUAUCAUGGACAAAGUCCCAGUCCAAGAAAUCAAACGCUUUCCUCAAGUCCAAAUUUAAGAUACAUCUCGGGGAUGAUCUCUUUCGACCGUAUUGCCUUAGGAGUUCUUGAAGCAAGAAGAUGUUGUCCUUCAUGCUCCUUUUUUGGACAAAAGUUGCUUGUGCUGGAUCUAUAAUGCUGGGUAACGCCUCUGCGAUCCUAGUAGCAAGAAUUUUGGAGAUGACCUUGUAUAUUACGUCUGAAAUCUUCCACUCUAUCAGCAUUCUUUGAUUUUGAAUUAAUGAUAACACAGUAUGAUUAAUCUGUUUGAGGAUUUCCCCUGUGGAAAAAAAUUCCUUGAUUGCCUCCGAAAAGUCCCUUGCAAUUAUGUCCCAAGAGUUUUUGUAAAAGCAGGAGGAAAACCCAUCUGGACCUGGGGCUUUGUCCUCUCCAAUGCUAAAGAGGGCAUAUUUAAUUUCCUCGUCUGAAAUUGGCCUUAGAAGGUAUUCUGCUUGAUCAGUAUUCAGGAGAUUCCCUUGCAAAACAGUGUCCCUAUUUAGCCUGGUGCAGUCGCUCUUUGUUCCCAACAGACUCUUAUAAUACUGAACAAAAGCCUCUCCCACUUGCUUCUGGGAAGUAGUUCGGCUCCCAUCCUCAUGGGAGAUAGAAGCUAUGUGAUUCUUGGCUCGGUUGCUUUUUAUGAGAUCAUGGAAAAAUUUGGUACCCUUGUCGCAAUUCUUUAGAUACUUUGAUUUUGCUAACUGAGAGCAGAAGCUAAGCUCUGCCUCUACUAGCUUGAGAGCCUUCUGCCGAAGCUGAGGAACUAGCCUUUGGAAGUUAGAAUAUGCAGGGUUGUCAUGUAAUUGCUGCUGGGCUUGGGAUAGCUCUUCCUCGGCAGCUUCUGCUUGGGCAGAGAUGUGGGAAUAGGAAUGUUUGUUCAGAGCUCUCAGGGGGUCUUUCAGCCCUCUAAGCUUUCUGUAAAAUCUGAACAUGGCUAUACUUUUGAUCUGCAUUCUCCAAGACCUGCUGACGAUUUCCCCAAAUUUUUCAUGCUUGGUCCACAUGUUGAAGAAUUUGAACGGGCUGUUUCCUCGGGCAUUUCCCCAAAUAAGGCAAUAGUACAAGGGGAAUGGUCUGAAAGCUUUCCUGGGAGAUCAAAUCUUGCCUGGGCUAAAUGACCCUCUUGGAUCCAUUUGGUGUUAACCAUAGCCCGAUCAAGCUUGCACCAUACUGAGUUAUUGGACCAAGUGAGAAAAGUCCCUGUGGAUCUCAAGUCUGAUAUGCCAAUAUCAUAGCAACAGUUUUUAAAGUCCCAAAUCUCAUACAUAGUGACAGGGAGCUCGUUGGCUUUUUCUUCACUGCUAAGAACAUUGUUAAAGUCUCCUACAAGAAUCCACGGCAGCUCAAAGGAUGCGUUAUAUCUGCGCGGGUUAUCCCAAAGGGGCCUUCGCCCCGUAAUCGAAUUGAAAGCAUAAAUGAAGCUAAUGGAAAAUUUGAUAGUUGAUGACUUACAAAUUGCCAGGCAAUGAAUAACCUGAUCCGUGGUUUCAAUAAUCUACAGCCGCACUUUAUCCUCCUUCCAGAGGAUUAAAAUUCUGCCAUUCCGGUUGAGCAGAAAAUUAUCUUUUACUCUCCAAGAUCUGAACUUUCUUCUAGCAAUAUUUCCCAAGCUUUGCUUAGAGAGUUUUGUUUCCAGUAUACCUAUGAUAUCCACCUUAUUUCUCCUAGCAUGAUUCAAAACUCCAUUCUGCUUUAGAGGCGAGUUUAAGCCUCUAAUAUCCCAGAAUGAGAUUAUCAUUGAGUGGGUUGGAUAGGGGAGUCACCCCCCAUUUCUGCACAAAAUUCCUCAAAGG
rnacentral:lncRNA from 1 species